AACGCACGCUGGCGGCAGGCUUAACACAUGCAAGUCGAACGCCCCGCAAGGGGAGUGGCAGCCGGGUGAGUAACGCGUGGGAACAUACCCUUUUCUACGGAAUAGCUCUGGGAAACUGGAAUUAAUACCGUAUACGCCCUACGGGGGAAAGAUUUAUCGGGGAAGGAUUGGCCCGCGUUGGAUUAGCUAGUUGGUGGGGUAAAGGCCUACCAAGGCGACGAUCCAUAGCUGGUCUGAGAGGAUGAUCAGCCACAUUGGGACUGAGACACGGCCCAAACUCCUACGGGAGGCAGCAGUGGGGAAUAUUGGACAAUGGGCGCAAGCCUGAUCCAGCCAUGCCGCGUGAGUGAUGAAGGCCUUAGGGUUGUAAAGCUCUUUCACCGAUGAAGAUAAUGACGGUAGUCGGAGAAGAAGCCCCGGCUAACUUCGUG
rnacentral:rRNA from 1 species